GUUGUCUGUUUGAGUAAUGAGUGUAGAAACCUAUAAUGGAGGCGUGAUGGCUGAUGCAAUCAUUUUCCACUGAUGAAGGUUUUGAUGGCCACCUGUAAUGAACAGCCCCAUCUGAUUUAAUCACUGUGCAAUGACCGUGAACUGUACAGUUACCUCCGUGUGUCACAGGAAGACUCUUUUGACUUAAGCACCCUUCCAUGGUCAUGAGGUUUCUGGUUGCCUCUGUGUGUUAGAAGCUUGGAGACCAAUGCCUUCUGCUGUGAUCGCGUUCUCCACAGUUGCCUCUGGGUAGGAGCCUGGACACUAAUAGAAAAUGGAUGCACUGGAGCUGAUUUAAACAUUCUUUGGUGGUCACAAGAUGUAUAGCUGCCUCUGUAUGUUUGGCGCAUGGAAAAAAAUAUGAGUUUUUGUGGACAUACACUCUUUAUUUGAAAAGUAUGAAAUAUAAUCCAAGAAAGCCAGCCAUGGCUCAGUGAUAAAUAUGGAAUUGAUAUGAAACAUUAUAUUGAUUAAUCACCUUUGAGGAUGAUUAAUAAAAGAGAGAAAGUGAUUCUAUAUAGAGAUGCAGGACUAUUUCAGGCUCAUUCAUGAUCUAGGUUUUUGUGCUUCAUGGUUAUUUUAUUAUCAUCAAUAAAAAGAAAAAA
rnacentral:lncRNA from 1 species